rnacentral:rRNA from 1 species
GAUCCUGGCUCAGGACGAACGCUGGCGGCGUGCCUAAUACAUGCAAGUCGAGCGCGGGAAGCGAGUGGAUCCCUUCGGGGUGAAGCUCGUGGAACGAGCGGCGGACGGGUGAGUAACACGUGGGCAACCUGCCUGUAAGAUCGGAAUAACCCCGGGAAACCGGGGCUAAUGCCGGGUAAUACUUUCUUUCGCAUGAAGGAAAGUUGAAAGAUGGCUUCUCGCUAUCACUUACAGAUGGGCCCGCGGCGCAUUAGCUAGUUGGUGAGGUAACGGCUCACCAAGGCGACGAUGCGUAGCCGACCUGAGAGGGUGAUCGGCCACACUGGGACUGAGACACGGCCCAGACUCCUACGGGAGGCAGCAGUAGGGAAUCUUCCGCAAUGGACGAAAGUCUGACGGAGCAACGCCGCGUGAACGAUGAAGGUCUUCGGAUCGUAAAGUUCUGUUGUUAGGGAAGAACAAGUACCGUGCGAAUAGGAGCGGUACCUUGAC